GCAAACUUGGUCAUUUAGAGGAAGUAAAAGUCGUAACAAGGUCUCCGUUGGUGAACCAGCGGAGGGAUCAUUAAUGAGUUACUAAACUCCAAAACCCUUUGUGAACCUUACCGUCGUUUCCUCGGCGCGUGCUGCUGCUACCUGGAGCUACCUUGGAAGGCACCUACCCUGUAGUGGUUGUCUGCCAAGAGCUAUCCUGUCAGGCACCUACCUCUGUAGUGGUUGUCUGCCAGGAGCUGUCUUGGCAGGCACCUACCCUAUAGUAGUUGUCUACCCUGGAGCUACCCUGUAGCCGCGUGAAGGCCCGUCGAAGGACCGUUAAACUCUUGCUUCUACAACUGUAUCUCUGAACACGUAACUGAAAUAAGUUAAAACUUUCAACAACGGAUCUCUUGGUUCUGGCAUCGAUGAAGAACGCAGC
rnacentral:misc_RNA from 1 species